rnacentral:snRNA from 1 species
CAGUUCAACUGUGAAUAGAG